GCGCGUAAAUUGCCCGAAUCCUGACACAGGGAGGUAGUGACAAGAAAUAACAAUACAGGGCUUCUAAAGUCUUGUAUUGGAAUGAGUACAACUUACAUCUCUUCACGAGGAUCAAUUGGAGGGCAAGUCUGGUGCCAGCAGCCGCGGUAAUUCCAGCUCCAAUAGCGUAUAUUAAAGUUGUUGCAGUUAAAAAGCUCGUAGUCGGAUUUCGGGGCGGGCCGAGCGGUCUGCCGAUGGGUAUGCACUGUUCGGCGCGUCCUUCUUUCCGGAGACUGCGCCUACUCUUAGCUGAGCGGGCGUGGGAGACGGAUCGUUUACUUUGAAAAAAUCAGAGUGUUUCAAGCAGGCAGCUCGCUCUUGCAUGGAUUAGCAUGGGAUAAUGAAAUAGGACUCUGGUGCUAUUUUGUUGGUUUCGAACACCGGAGUAAUGAUUAACAGGGACAGUCAGGGGCACUCGUAUUCC
rnacentral:rRNA from 1 species